rnacentral:lncRNA from 1 species
CUCCGCAAGGUCUCAACCUGUUCUUCAGCCUGAACAUUCUCUUGUGCUUCCUCUCUUAAACCAGUAGGUUCUCCCUGCUCAUUUCCACCUGACUGAGCUUCACUCUCUACUUCAUGUGUCUCAACACUGAUCAUGCUGACCUGAAUCCUCUUGGUUAUGCUCCUGCUCCCCUGAUUCAGAUCCAUUCCCCCUCUCAUGAUCAAGAGGGGUUGUUCCUCCAGCUUCUCCAGCUUGAUUAGAAGGUCCUGUUCUUCCUGGUUCCUGAUCUUGGGAUAAUCCUAUCCCUAGCCUCUCCAACAACACUCUCAAUGUUGUUGCCUUCUCUGAUGGAGCUCGGGACAGAUCCUCUAUGUUAGGUUUUCAGAGCUCAGGCUGUGUGUGUGAGAAGAAGCCACUAAGGGCGAAAUGAGAGCUUGAACUGAAGAGAGAAAGGUCUGAUGAAAACAGUAUGAACUUGGACAGAAACAAGAGAUUUAGAAAGAUUAAGAGAUUUAAGUAUAAGAAAGGGAGAGAUUAAGGGAUUCUUAUCCAAGAACACACUUUGUAUUAUGAAGGAGGAGGGGAAAUCCCCCUCUCUCUCUUAAGAGAGUUACAAAACGUCCAUACACAUGCCUUAUAUAGGCCUUACAUGUUUGCAACAUUAGAAACCUAAAUCUAAUGGAUAGAAAUGACUUGAGAGGAAUGGAUGGCUAGGAUGGAGUUUUCUUGUUUGCAAUCUGAGUGAAUUGAUCUGAUUGGAGUAGAGAAUGCUGGCUGGUGAUUGGUUGAUUCAAACUGGUCAAGGCAAGGGCUGGCUCCUGAUUGGUUCCCUUAAGGCUCCCAUGAACCUUUUUCAUAAAGAUGGCUAGAUACAUGGUCAAGGCUGCUUUUCCUUUACAGCUCAAAGACAGCCUGUCAUUGACCACGCCCUAGCUCUCCCUUAUCCACAAACAGUCACAAGAUAACUCAGGUUUGUCUUCUCUUGCGCUCUAAGUUUGCACAGCUUCAUUUCAGGUUGAUCUGGAACAAGUACGGUCGAUGGUACGGACCACCUGUCCGUACCUCGCCCUAUUUUUGUACCAACUCCCAAUCUUCUCAAAUGGUUGAGUCUGAACAUGAUCUUGGUCGCCCUAAGUUUGUACGGUCCGUACCGUCCGUACCGAUGCUCGACCCUAUUUCUGCACCAUCACCCAACUGACUCCAAAUGGUGUCUAAGUAUGUCUAAGUCCCUCCUGAACUUGACCCUAACCUUGCACACCUCAUUUGGAUACUUCUGGACACUCUUGAACACUCCUAAAGCCUUGAUAGACAAUCUCCAGAGGUCUUGCCCUAUUCUUGCUCAAGACCCAAACUCAACCCAACUCCUCCUUUGGCUCCAUUUCUUUCUUCAAGUCAACACUCCCCCUCAAGCUUGACUCUAGGUGAUCCUAAGUCAAGCUUGGAAUCUUGAAGAACUCCCUCAUUAAAAACCUCACCAAGGAAAACCCUUUGGGACAAAACCUUGAUGAGGGAAAAAGAGUAGAGCCUCCAAGGCCUAGGGAUUGUCCAGUGAGCCUAUGUGCCUUAGUAUAACUGAGGUUUAGGCACAUAGGCUCUGGAUCACGGCCUCUUCACUUCACCACUCUUCUUGGACUUCUUCUUGAACUCGGUUUGUGUCUUCCCUUUUCUCAUGGCUUCUCGCCAUCUCCAUCAGGUAAGAUCACACCCUCUUCAUUGAGAAUCCAAGUAAGGUACGUGAUACAUCAUUCCACAAGUGUAUCAGUUCUCAAGAGAUAAACCAAUCAUGAAUGUAUAUUAAGAGAUAAAGAUCAGGUUUACUCCCUUGUAUAAAUGGUGAGGAGUGGCUGCUCUUCACAUGCCAGUUGAAUCCCUCACUUUCUGAGCUUAACAGCUCUUUCUCUUAUCAUGCAAGCUCAUCCACACUCUCCCUCAAGCUUGAGACCGAGUAUAAGGAAGGUCCAAGCUUGAUGGUGAGCGCAUGAUAGCUUCAUGAUAAGCCUUGUGGAAAGCACCUCCAUCUCCUUCGGACUUGAUGCUUGAACCUCCAGUACAUCAUCAUUGCACUGAGGAGAUACCUCAGCCCACUCUCCAAGCACCUCACACGCCUUGUUGAGUGACCUUCUUCUUCCCUCUACUUCGGCUGAAUCACUCCAUGAUCAGCUUGCAAUGACCUUGAGUAACAAAGGUCAUUGAGCAACAGGAUCAUCAGGUGGCUCACUUUGCUCCCCUCCUCAAGCUUGGGUUAAGUAUGGUUCCAAGCUUGAAGUGAGCCUCAAUGAGCCUUAAGAUCAGGAGCACAACAUCUCAUGGACUGCGCAUUCAACCACUGAUCAACCCUUCCCUUUAUCUCCAAUGCCUUCUGGUCACCGGUCUCCUCGAGACUUAAGUGAUGACCAUACGCCUUGUGUAUCCACACAUACACCACAGCGACCAUUCCCAAUGGGUAAAGUCUUCCUCUUCUGCUCGGAUUGGUGAUGGACAGAGAGCAUAUCUUGUGAACCUGAAACAUCACUCAAACUCCAGCAAAGAUAAGACACAAGCAUUGGGAUCAAUCCUUAACUAAUCAUCAAGUUUGAUCUCCAAUGUCACAAGCUAUGCAACAGAUUGAAACAAGCAUUAUCAAGUUCACAUCUUUGCAAGCAAUUUCUCUAAGUACAAGCAAGAUCAAAUCAGAUUCAAGACAAGCUACUUAGGCAAUCAACCCUGCCUUAAUCAGCAAUCAUAGACAUCCAUCUAUGUGCUCAAUGUUAAGGCAGCAACAAGAUGACAAUAUGCUGUGACCUUAAUCAGUUUCUAGCUCAUGUAUGCAACAAGAUCAGCCAAUGCUUUCUAUUAUCCUAACACACAUCACUUAUAACUGAGGCAAAGCAAUAUUAAUCAUCAAUCAACAUCAGACAAUGCAAAACCUUAAGUGAUUUCAGUUUAAUGAAAGCUAAUAGGAUUUAGACAGUUUCUAACAUCCUAGCACAAUCAUAACCAAACCGGGUAAGCAUUUUAUUUCUCAACAUCAAACAAGACUCUUAAGGCAUCCUGGGACUGAACUAGACAAUACAAUAUAGCAUUUCAUAUCAAGAACCCACGGAUUGCAACACUACACAACACAACACACAACCAGUUUCAAUCACAAGCUCAUAUCAAGAAGGUUUAGGAUUAGCUUACAACCAAGGAACCUGAGCUGGUUCCUUGAGCCUCCUUGUUAAUAGGUCACGAAUCUGAUGGGUAAGAGAGCUGGAUCGUCACCCAACACCCUCUCCUUGUGUUCAUAACCUUCUCCUUGAAACCACAACUCAAAAGGCUCCACCUUUCUUCACAGCUCCAAGUCACCAACUUCAGGAACAAGGGGAAAGCUUUCUUCUUGAAUGGUUUCAGCUUGGACCAGAGUUGAGACACACCUUUAAUGGACUGGAGAGAGGAGGCACGACCAUGAUAAACCUCCUUGGCUUCAUACACCUUCUUCUUGAAGAGAGAGAACCAAAAGGACAAAUCUUCAAUGGCUUGGAUUUGAGAUGAGACUAGGUUUGUGAUAUAUAUGCGGAAGCUGGAACCAAGUUCUGAUGAACCUGGCUCUGAUACCAUGUUAGGUUUUCAGAGCUCAGGCUGUGUGUGUGAGAAGAAGCCACUAAGGGCGAAAUGAGAGCUUGAACUGAAGAGAGAAAGGUCUGAUGAAAACAGUAUGAACUUGGACAAAAACAAGAGAUUUAGAGAGAUUAAGAGAUUUAAGUAUAAGAAAGGGAGAGAUUAAGGGAUUCUUAUCCAAGAACACACUUUGUAUUAUGAAGGAGGAGGGGAAAUCCCCCUCUCUCUCUUAAGAGAGUUACAAAACGUCCAUACACAUGCCUUAUAUAGGCCUUACAUGUUUGCAACAUUAGAAACCUAAAUCUAAUGGAUAGAAAUGACUUGAGAGGAAUGGAUGGCUAGGAUGGAGUUUUCUUGUUUGUAAUCUGAGUGAAUUGAUCUGAUUGGAGUAGAGAAUGCUGGCUGGUGAUUGGUUGAUUCAAACUGGUCAAGGCAAGGGCUGGCUCCUGAUUGGUUCCCUUAAGGCUCCCAUGAACCUUUUUCAUAAAGAUGGCUAGAUACAUGGUCAAGGCUGCUUUUCCUUUACAGCUCAAAGACAGCCUGUCAUUGACCACACCCUUGUUGAGAUGAAGACUAAGAAGUGAAGAGAUGAAGCUUUGAGGUUCAAUAGAGUGUUGAGGCUAAGACAGUAACUUUAGAGUUUUACUGUGGUAACUUUAUUUUAACCACAGUAACUACUUGGGAAGUUACCUGAAGUGAUGGGAAGGUAACUUGGUGAAGAGAAGGGAUAGAAUUCGUGAGAAGAGGGUAAAGGAUAAGGUUCCUCUUGGCUGGAAAGGAUAAGCACCUUUACAGCAAGUGACAGCCUGUCCAAGCAUGUGAAGCAUCUCAGCCUAGCAUUUCUAUUGACUCCUCAUGCUUAUAGGUCUAGAUUGAAUACAUUGAACCUAGACAUGAUUGUAAUCUCUUUAUAGCUUGUAAUCUCUCAUCUGAAUCAUUUAAUGGAGUUUUGAGUAUUCUCUCUUGUUCUUUAUUCUCUUAAUCUCCAAAUCUUAUACAAACUACACUAAUCAUCUCUUGAUAUUUAUUCAUCACUCUACAUACACAAAAGUGUAUAUGGUAUCAGAGCCAGGUUGGCAAGGAAGGGAGUGGUGAUUUUCGAAUCUGUUUGUGUUGCUCUUGGUGUUCUUGAGCUGUUCUUCACUUUCUGGUUAUUUGGGAGGCUUUCUGGUCGAUCCAAUCAGCCUCAACAGAAGAUGAAGUAUAGAUCUAGUGAAUCAGUGGAGCGUGAAGAAGAGAGGGAUGGAGUGUGUUCAAGAUGGAUAAAGGAAGCUUUGGAAAGCUGUGGGUUAUGGAGUAGUCAUGGAAAGGGGAAGCCUUUCAUGGAAAUGGCUACUGAAGAAGGUCAGACAAGAGGUCUGAAGCUAAAAGAUGAAGUUGUUCAAGGAAACACUACAAAGAGUGAGGUUGAAGCAACUUUAGGCAAGUCCAAACUUGUAAGAGUCGUUGAGGGCAAAGGGGUGAUCCGCGGCUUGAGACAAGGAAAGGAUGAGUGUUAUCAGCUUGUGGGAAGGCUGAGAGAAGUAUGGUCAGAGUUAGAUGUGGUGAAAGCACACACAUCAAAUCCGAGAUGGUGUCAAGAAAGGAGGAAGCAAGAUGUGAUCUUUAGCUUUCUUAUGGAAGAGGUAUGUGAGCUUGUUAAACACACUUGUGAUGUGUGGGAGAUGAACAGGAAGCCAGAUAGAUGGAAGGGAGGUACAAGCUGUAAGAAGGGAAGGUUGAGAAAACUUUCUAAGGAGUGGUUAAUGAGGAGAACGGCUUGGAGGAAGGACAGUGAGUCUGGUUAUCUGAGUGACAAGAUGAGCUUGAAGAUGAUCAAGGAGGCUGCGCAACUAGUGGUGAGAGGAGAGUGUUCUUACUCAGCCUACAUGGGUGAAUCAGUAGAAGACAGUGUGGUGUUAAGAGAGCAGGAGAAAGAGGGUGGAGCUGAUGAUUGCAUCACCAGGAAGGAAUGGAGAGUGUUCAUGGAACAUGUACAAGCUUUAGCAGCAAGCAAGAAACAGUGUGUACAAUCUGGAGCUCCUAAACCCAUUGUGAUUGAUUCUGGAGCAAGCCAUCAUAUGAUCAGUGAUAGGAGACUUAUAAGUGAGAUCAAGGCUGCAACAGGGAGUGUUAUGAUUGCUAAUGGUGCUAUGAUCCCAAUAGAAGGAGUGGGAAAGCUCAAACUGUUUGAGAAGGACACCACUGCCUUCUACAUGCCCCGGUUCACUUCAAAUCUGUUAUCUGUGAAGAAAGCUACGAUUGAUCUUGAUUGUCAAGUAGUAUUCAGACCUGAUGAAGUGGAGUUUCAAGAUUUAAAGAGUGGGAGAGUUAUUGGCAGAGGGGACAGCAAGAAUCAGCUAUACCAUCUUCAAAUGGCUAAGAAUUCUAAACCCUUUGAUUCUGUGUGCUUAAGUAGUGCUGUUGAUAGGUGUGAUAGUAUGACUUGGCAUGCUAGAUUAGGACAUCCUCAUGCUCGUGCAAUUGAGUUAAUCAUGCCUAAUAUGUCAUUUAAUCACUUGGAGUGUGAAGCAUGCAUAUUAGGAAAGCAUUGUAGGACUGUCUUUCCAACUUCAGAGACUAUAUAUGAGCAUUGCUUUGAUCUAGUUCACUCAGAUGUGUGGACAUCUCCGUGUGAGUCUAGGGAUAGCCAGAAGUACUUUGUGACUUUUAUUGAUGAGAAAUCAAAGUAUACAUGGGUCACUUUGAUUCCCUCUAAAGAUAGAGUCCUAGAAGCCUUUAUGAACUUCCAAGCAUAUGUAACUAAUCAAUACAAUGCUACUGUGAAGGUGCUAAGAUCUGAUAAUGGAGGAGAAUACACUAGCAAUGCUUUCAAGAGUCAUCUAGCAAAGCAUGGGAUUGUGCAGCAGACAAGCUGUCCUUACACACCACAGCAGAAUGGGGUGGCUGAGAGAAAGAAUAGGCACCUGAUGGAGGUAGCAAGGUCAAUGAUGUUUCAUGCAAAUGUUCCAAAGAGGUUUUGGGGGGAUGCUGUUCAGACUGCGUGCUAUCUCAUCAACAGAGUUCCAACCAAGAUCCUAAAGAAUCUGUCUCCCUUUGAGGUAUUGAACAAGACCAAGCCAUACCUUGAUCAUUUGAGAGUCUUUGGGUGCUUAUGUUAUGUGAUGGUUCCCGGAGAGAGGAGGAACAAGCUAGAGGCAAAGAGUACUAAAGCUAUGUUCAUUGGGUACUCAAUCACUCAGAAAGGGUACAAAUGUUAUGAUCCAAUAACCAGGAGGGUUAUGGUAUCCAGAGAAGUGAAGUUUGUUGAGUCUAGAGGGUAUUAUGAGGAGAAGAAAUGGGAAGACCUGGAGGAUCUGUCCCGAGCUCCAUCAGAGAAGGCAACAACACUGAGAGUAUUGUUGGAGAGGCUAGGGAUAGGAUUAUCCCAACAUCAGGAACCAGGAAGGAGAGAACCUUCUAAUCAAGCUGGAGAAACAACCCCUCUUGAUCAUGAGAGGGGGAAUGGAUCUGAAUCAGAGGAGCAGGAGCAGAACCAAGAGGAUUCAGGACAGCAUGAUCAUGAGGAGACACAGGAAGUAGAGAAUGUUGUUCAGUCUAGUGGAGAUGAGCAAGGAGAGUCUACUGGUACAGAGGAGAGUCAGGCUCAGUCAGGUGGAAAUGAGCAGGGAGAACCUACUGGUUUUGGAGAGGAAACACAAGAUAAUGUUCAGGCUGAAGAACAGGUUGAGACCUUGCGGAGGAGCACAAGGAUAAAGAGGGAUCCUUCCAACUGGGUAAACACGAGAGUGUACUACAAUGCCCAGGCUGUGGAGCAUCCUUCUCAAGCCGUGUGUUCCUUUGCUGAGUUUCCAGAGGAGCACUAUGCCUUUAUGAGCAGUCUGGAUGAGAGUUAUGUACCAAGGACUUAUGAAGAAGCUAUGUUAGACAAGGAAUGGAAAGAAUCAGUGGGAGCUGAAGCAGGUGCUAUGAUCAAAAAUGAUACAUGGUAUGAGAGUGAGCUGCCUAAGGGAAAGAAGGCUGUGUCUAGUAGAUGGAUCUUCACAAUCAAGUAUCUAGCAAAUGGACAGAUUGAUAGGAAGAAGACCAGAUUGGUUGCAAGAGGAUUUACACAGACCUAUGGAGAGGAUUACAUUGAUACCUUUGCACCAGUAGCUAAGCUACACACAGUUCGGAUUGUGUUGUCUAUUGCAACAAACUUGGAGUGGGAUUUGUGGCAAAUGGAUGUGAAGAAUGCUUUCUUACAAGGUGAGCUAGAAGAUGAGGUAUACAUGCUUCCUCCUGCUGGUCUUGAGCAUCUAGUAAAACCAGGAAAUGUUUUGAGAUUGAAGAAGGCAAUAUAUGGGCUUAAGCAGUCUCCUAGAGCUUGGUACAGGAAGCUGAGUACAACUCUAAAUGGGAGAGGAUUCAGGAAGUCUGAACUGGAUCAUACACUCUUCACUUUGGUUACUCCAUCAGGGAUCAUUUUGAUACUGGUAUAUGUGGAUGAUUUAAUUAUCACAGGGAGUGACAAGGCUGGGAUUAAAGCUACGAAAGAGUUCCUCAAGUCUGUGUUUGAUAUCAAAGACUUGGGAGAGAUGAAGUAUUUCUUGGGGAUUGAGAUAUGCAGAUCCAAGGAGGGUUUGUUUAUGUCUCAAAGGAAGUAUACAAUGGAUAUGCUGAAGGAGAGUGAUGUACUUGGAGGAAAGGUAGCAAAGACACCUCUUGAGGAGGGGUAUAAGGUUUUGCGUGAGGGGGAGGUUGAAGAGAAGCAGUUGUUUGAGGAUGCUAAGCUGUAUAGGAAGAUGGUGGGCAAACUGAUCUACUUGACUAUCACCAGACCUGAUAUAUGUUUUGCUGUGAAUCAAGUAAGUCAGCAUAUGCAGGCGCCAAAGGUACAUCAUUGGAAGAUGGUUGAUAGGAUACUGAGGUAUUUGAGUGGCACGCCUGGUCAAGGAGUUUGGAUGGGUUGUAAUGGCAGUACAGAAGUGGUUGGGUAUUGUGAUGCUGAUUGGGCAGGAGAUAGAGUGGACAGGAGAUCAACUACUGGGUAUUGUACAUUCAUUGGAGGGAACUUGGUUACUUGGAAAAGUAAGAAGCAAAGGUUAUCUCUUGUUCAAGUGCUGAAGCUGAGUAUAGAGCCAUGUUGAAGCUGACAAACGAGUUGGUGUGGAUCAAGGGGAUCUUGAAGCAUUUAGAGAUUGAGCAGAGUACUCCUAUGACUAUGCAUUGUGACAAUCAAGCAGCUAUCCACAUUGCCUCCAACUCAGUGUUUCAUGAGAGAACAAAGCACAUAGAGGUGGAUUGUCAUAAGGUGAGGCAGAUGAUUAUCUUAGGAGUGAUUCUGCCAUGUUAUACAAGAAGUGAAGAUCAGCUUGCAGAUGUGUUUACCAAGGCAGCGAGAUUGAAGACAAUGGAGUCCAUACUAUCCAGGCUUGGACUCAUUGAUCUUACUCCCAGGAGCUGAGCCCCUUAUCAAAGUUUUAUCCCAAUGGGUUUUCUUUGGUGAGGUUUUUAAUGAGGGAGGUCUUCAUGGUUUCCAAGCUUGACUUGUUCCACAUGGUCAAGCUUGAGGGGGAGUGUUGAGAUGAAGACUAAGAAGUGAAGAGAUGAAGCUUUGAGGUUCAAUAGAGUGUUGAGGCUGAGACAGUAACUUUAGAGUUUUACUGUGGUAACUUUAUUUUAACCACAGUAACUACUUGGGAAGUUACCUGAAGUAAUGGGAAGGUAACUUCGUGAAGAGAAGGGAUAGAAUUCGUGAGAAGAGGGUAAAGGAUAAGGUUCCUCUUGGCUCGAAAGGAUAAGUACCUUUACAGCAAGUGACAGCCUGUCCAAGCAUGUGAAGCAUCUCAGCCUAGCAUUUCUAUUGACUCCACAUGCUUAUAGGUCUAGAUUGAAUACAUUGAACCUAGACAUGAUUGUAAUCUCUUUAUAGCUUGUAAUCUCUCAUCUGAAUCAUUUAAUGGAGUUUUGAGUAUUCUCUCUUGUUCUUUAUUCUCUUAAUCUCCAAAUCUUAUACAAACUACACUAAUCAUCUCUUGAUAUUUAUUCAUCACUCUACAUACACAAAAGUGUAUAGCCCUAGCUCUCCCUUAUCCACAAACAGUCACAAGAUAACUCAGGUUUGUCUUCUCUUGCGCCC